UACGGGGGGGGCAAGCGUUGUUCGGAAUUAUUGGGCGUAAAGGGCGCGUAGGCGGCUUGACAAGUCAAAGGUGAAAUCCCUCGGCUCAACUGAGGAACUGCCUUUGAAACUGUCUGGCUUGAGGCCGGGAGGGGGUAGCGGAAUUCCCAGUGUAGCGGUGAAAUGCGUAGAUACUGGGAGGAACACCAGUGGCGAAGGCGGCUACCUGGACCGGUUCUGACGCUGAGGCGCGAAAGCGUGGGUAGCAAACAGG
rnacentral:rRNA from 1 species